UCGAGAAUUUUUCUCAAUGGGGGAAACCCUGAAGGAGCGACGCCGCGUGGGGGAUGAAUGGCUUCGGCCCGUAAACCCCUGUCAUUUGCGAUCAAACCUUACGUUUUAAUAAAGCGUAAGCUGAUAGUAGCGGAAGAGGAAGGGACGGCUAACUCUGUGCCAGCAGCCGCGGUAAUACAGAGGUCCCAAGCGUUGUUCGGAUUCACUGGGCGUAAAGGGUGCGUAGGCGGUCGGGUAAGUCUGACGUGAA
rnacentral:rRNA from 1 species